UUAUAGUUUAUUACAAUUUAUUUCAUUCUUGGUUGGUCCAAUCACAUUGAUCCAUUUGCACUCUAUAACCAAACCUCUUGAUAAAACCCACCGUUCAUUCAAGAAAUUUGCAGCAUCCUCACUGCUUUGUUGACAGUCGUGCCCCUUCCCUCUUCCUCUCAAAAAUACCCACUUCAUCUUCAACCUCCAAAAAUCCACUUCCAUCUCUCCAUCAUAUCUUCAUCAAGAAAAGGAAAGUAAAAAGGCUCAUCCUCCAAGCAAGGUGAUGAAGCAAGAAGACUUGUUCCAUCCAAUAAGCUAAGAGAAAGGUUUGUAGAUUUCUUCAAAUCCAAGAUGAUUCUUGCUCUCAAGUUUAGCAACCUUGAUAAUUUUUUCUCUGAAUGCUUUAGUUUUCCAAAUCUGCUUAGAGAUCAUGGUAUAAAUGAGUUGAUAGGAAGCUAUAUGACCUAUUACCCGAAUUUAGUAAGAGUUUUCUACUGUAAUAUGGAGUUGAAAAAUGAUACUAUAACUUCAAAUGUUAAAGGGGUACCAAUUUCUUUUACCGUGAAAGAGUUAGGAGAGGCUUUAGAUAUCUCUUAUGAAGGUGCUAAAAUUAAGAUCAAUCAUAAUGCAAAUUUACCUGGAUAUGACAAAAAUAAAUUUUAUUAUGGAAUUGCUAGGAUUUAUGAACAAGAAUUCUUUCAGAAAAGUAAGAAAAUUGUUGGUGGUAAUCCAGAAAGAAACUCACGGGCGACUGUAAUUUUUACCAUUGAUUACAAAUUGAUUCACUAUUUUAUUGCUUAUGUUGUAGUGUCAAAGUUCUCAAAUUUCUCAAUUGUUAAUGACUGUGAGAUGCAUAUUCUCUAUGCAAUAAAUAACAUCAGUUUUUUUAGAAAAAAUAACCUGAAUAUGUAAAAUGAAAGGAAGGUUGAUAUGGUCCCUCCGGAGAAUGAAGUCACUCCAAGGAAAGUGUGCAACACCAAGACGAGUGUCAAACUUGAUCCGGCGGCACGAAUAAUUACCUAUAUCAAUCCCCCUCAAAAAAACCAACCAAUAAGAAGUUUUCAAUCAUCAAGUGCUUAACUAUAUGCACUACAUGAACUCUCACAUUAGUAACCAAAUUUCUCAACUCUCCAUACAAAUGAACAUACCUCCAUAUGGAUUUACUCCUUAUCACUACCCUUUUGUCCAAAAUGAAGACCAAGACAACAACAAUGAUGAUGAGAUGAACCAAGAUUAGGAAUCUUUAUUCUAUGCUUUCUUUUGUGUUAGAAUGUUAAAGUAUUAUGUUCUCUUAUGUUAUCUUUCAUGUCUUUAAGAACAUGUUGUUUUUAGUUUUAUUGUGUUAAGUACUAUCUUUCCUUGUAUGUUGCUAAGAAAAAAUGUUUUGGUGUUAUGUUGUUUGAGUAUUAUGUUAUGUCCUACCUUUGCUUUGAUUAAGUUCCUUGUCUCUUAUACUAUUACCUUUACUUUCAUGAUUAUGUUUCAUAUUAAUUUCCUCAUUCUUUUUGAUAAUGCUAAAUGUGGAUAGAAAUAUAUACCAUUAUAUGCUUGUAUGCUUGUUAUUUACUCACUAACUUUUAUUAAAAGUCAAGAAAGAGUUAUCAAGUUUAGGGGGAGAUUCUCAAGUAUAUGGAUAUAAGAGUAAGGGGGAGUCUUGGUGAACCUAAGCAAAUGAACAUGAAGAUAUCAAUGUCAAAUUUCAUGGUUGUCAUCAUCAAAAAGAGGGAGAAUGUGAAGAUAAGCUUCCAACAUGUUUUAAUGAAGACAAACUCAAUAAUUUCAUUAUCAAAGAAGGAUAAAAAGAUCUUGAAGACUUGACCUUAUUUACAAGAUUGUGUUCAUCAUAUAAGACAUGGCAAGUGAUUGUUAUCCUGAUGCAAUCGAUUGUCAAAGGCUUAUUUUGAAGAUUUUUAAACGUUACAGGUAUGACAAUCGAAUGUCAUUAACUGGAACUUUUCUGAAAACUGCAUUAUUUCUCAACACAUUUUCAUCAAACCUUUUCAUGACAUCCUUUCCUUAUCAAUGCAUUAUCAUUUUUAAAAAUUCUUGCAACCAUUGCCAUGAUUUAUGAAUGGUUGUUUCACCACUAUAAAUAUAAUUCAAAAUUUCAUUUUACAUUCACCUCUUUCAAAAUAAUUAUCAAAUCUCUCUGCAAAAAAAUUCAUAAUGAAAUUUUCAUAAUUAGAUACUUUGUGAAACACAUUUUCAUAUCAUAUUCAUCAAAGUAUCAUCGAGUACUUAGAGAGUAAUUGUUAAUGAAUCUUCAUACUUGAAAGGGAAUAAGACUUUAUUCUUUUGAAUAAAAAUCUUAACCAUUCUACAAACUUCACUUAUUUCUAUCUAUUAUAUUUGUUACAAACUCCCAAGUAUCAAGAAUUGUUUGGUACUACGAGGGAUCUAUAAGAAGGUGGAUUGUAUCUUCUUGUAGAGACAUUUACUUAUUGUCCAGGAUUGUUGGACAUAAGUGUGUUGUAAAUCACAAGAGGGUUGUUCUUGGUGAUUAUGUUAGAGUCUUGUAUAGGAAGACUAAUAUUGUCUUGUACAUAAGAUCUAACAAUAUUAAAAUAGCUUACUACAUAAGGAGACUGAAGUACUCUUAAA